rnacentral:lncRNA from 1 species
UGUUGAUGAUAAUAUUCUCGACUAUAUCUCUAGCGCAUUGUAUCUCUCUCUAUUCUGUUUCUAUCUUCUGUAGGUAGUUGAAUAGAUAGAUUCUAUCUUUACUUCUCUUGUACUCCAAGAAUGUAAUUCAAACAAUGUAUGCGUCUAUGGGAUAAGCCCCAUCAAUCUAUAAAUACACGCGGCCCUCCAACGAGGGUUAUAUGCUUCCUCCUAUCGAUUUCUACAUGGUAAUCAGAGCAUCCUCUUCCUUCUCGUCCUAAAACCACAGAAGCCUAGAUCGAUCUCUCCACAGAAAAACCAUGUCGUCCUCCUCCUCCACCCCAACUCUCUCUGGCCUCGGAUCCCAGGUCACAGAGAAGCUCACCCGCGAGAACUAUCUCCUGUGGAAGGCGCAGAUCCUGCCGCACUUCCUCGGGGCGGGCCUUUACGGCUAUCUGGACGGCACCAUUGCCGAACCAGAGAAGAUGCUCACCGUGAAGGACAAGGAGGGCAAGGACCAAGUCAUCAUCAACCCGGCGUAUGAAGCCUGGAUGCGUCAGGACCAGCAGGUCCUCGGGCACCUCAUGAACAACAUGUCAAAGGAGGUGCUAGUCUCGAUCGUCUCCAUCAGGACGGCACGAGCACUCUGGACAUCAUUGGGUAAUAUGUUUGCUUCUCAAUCACGCUCACGUAUUAAUAAUCUUCGGAUCUCCCUGUCCAAUGCCAAAAAGGGCAACCAAUCUGCACCGGUGUACUUCUCCCGGAUGCGUGGAUAUGCUGAUGAGCUCGCUGCCGCGGGGAAGCCACUGGAUGAGGACGAACUCGUUUCUUUCCUGCUGGCAGGGCUGGACCUCGACUACAACCCUCUGGUCUCGGCCCUAGAUGCGCGCACGGAGCCGGUCACUGUCGAUGCACUCUAUUCCCAGGUGUGCAACUUCGAUCAGCGAGUCGAGCUGCUCACAGGAGGCCAUGAUGCGGGCUUCAAAUCUUCUGCAAACUCUGCCCGUCGUGGCGGAGCUCCCCCUCGUGGCUAUGGCAGGGGGAGAGAACAGAAGCAAGGUGGUGGCGGCGGUGGCUACAAGAAGAAGCAGACCACCGGAGGGCGCCCCUUCUACAACAACAACAAGGGUGCUCGUCCUGGUGGUGGCUCGUCCAGCGGCAACAAGGCCAACAAUGAGCCGAUCCAGUGCCAGAUCUGUGGCAAGAUCGGUCACAGCGCAAGGGACUGCUGGUACCGCUUCGACGAUGACGCUCAAGAAGAAAAAGUUGCUGCUGCGGCCCAGUAUGGCGUUGACACAAACUGGUACGUCGACAGCGGCGCAACUAACCACCUCACAGGAGAGUUGGAGAAGUUGACAACUCGUGAGAAGUAUCGCGGCCAUGACCAAAUCCAUGGUCCAGAUGGAUCAGGUAUGAGAAUAAAUCAUGUUGGUCAAUCAAUUAUCAAAACCCCUAGCCGUCCUAUUCAUCUUAAAAAUAUCCUUCAUGCUCCCAGUGCUAAAAAAACCUUCUUUCUGUACAUCGCAUUGCUCUAGACAAUCAUGUAUUACUUGAGUUUUACCCCUUCUUCUUUUUGAUUAAGGAUCUGGCAACGAGGAAGGUGCUCUACAGAGGUAGAUGCGUUGGAGGGCUCUAUCCAUUGAUCCAUCGCCUUAGGAGCUCAAAUAAACAAGUUUUUGGUGUCACCCAAUUAUCUUCGGCAAGGUGGCACGAUCGAUUAGGACAUCCUUCUUUUGCUAUUGUUCAACGAGUGCUUAGAAAAAAUAAACUCCCUUUUGUUGGUGAGCUUAGUAGUGAAACAGUGUGUGAUUCAUGUCAGAAAGCAAAAAGUCAUCAACUCCCAUAUCCAGUAUCGACUAGUGUUUCUUCCAAACCAUUAGAGCUCAUUUUUUCUGAUGUAUGGGGGCAAGCACCCACUUCUGUUGGUCGACACAAAUACUAUGUAAGCUUCAUUGAUGAUUAUAGCAAGUAUACAUGGAUUUAUCUUAUUAAACAUAAGUCCGAUGUGUUUCAAGUUUUCCAAAAUUUUCAAGCACUUGUUGAACGAAAGUUUGAUAGCAAAAUCAUUACAGUCCAAUCGGACUGGGGUGGCGAGUACGAGAAACUCAACUCCUUCUUCCAAAAACUGGGAAUCUCCCAUCAUGUUUCUUGUCCCCACGCACACCAACAGAAUGGCUCUGCUGAACGCAAGCAUCGCCAUAUUGUUGAAGUUGGUCUUUCUCUACUUGCAAAUGCUUCCAUGCCAUUAAAAUUCUGGGACGAAGCUUUCCUCACUGCCACACAUCUCAUUAAUAUCCUUCCAAGCCGUGUCAUCAAUUACCAAACACCUACAGAACGGCUUUUUCAAACCAAACCAAACUAUGCAUCUCUCCGAGUUUUUGGGUGUGCAUGUUGGCCCAAUCUUCGACCCUACAACACCAGAAAACUUUCUUUUCGCUCCAAACAAUGUGUGUUCAUUGGUUAUAGUCCACAACAUAAAGGAGUCAAGUGCUUAGAUGUGCAAACUGGAAGGGUUUACAUAUCCAGGGAUGUGGUGUUCGAUGAGUCCGUUUUUCCGUUCCAAGAUCACCAUCCCAAUGCCGGAGCCCUCCUACAAAAAGAAAUCCUUCUCCUUCCUAGUUCUCUUUCCGGCUUAGAUCAAGGGGGUAAUGAUAUUUUUGAUGAUCGCAUGACUAAUCCUCAUAACCAUACAACACAGUCUCCUGGUGAUGCAGAUGAUACAGGUUUUUGUGGUACAGAAAACGGUGCACAAACUGCUGAAAACGCAGCUGUACAAUAGCCAAUAUUUCAUGCAGCAGAACCGGACACGGGCGCUGGACACGAGGAGGAUUCACCUGCGUCGGGAUCAGCGGGCUCCAGAUCCCAGGAGGAUCGCCUGCAGCGGCAGGCUACCUCGGAAUCACGCGCGCACCGCAGCGACAGCGCCUCUCCCACGAGGCGGGCCACGGACGCGCCGUCCAGUGCGCGUGGACCACGCACAGACCCACCUUCGGGCCAAUCAUCACCCGCCACACGCGGCGUGAUCCAACGGGCCGCUGACAGCGACCGGGCCCCCAACCGCGGUCGGGCCCAUGACAACGACCGGGCCAGCGCUGAUUCGCCCGGCGCGCCUGGUGUACCUGACGGCGGAUCGCCCUCGGGGUCUGCCCCUACCAGUCCUGCACGCUCAGGCGGAUCGGGCGGAUCUUCUGCAGCACAAACUCCUGUAGCGCGUUCUACACGCGUUGGUACACGUCUACAAACAGGGAAAAUUAACCCUGUUAAUUACAAAAAUAUUCUUAAAUUUGGGCUAACUUGUUCUACAGAUGUACCACAUUCUGUUGAAGAGGCACUGGAUGAUGCUAAGUGGAGAAAAGCCAUGGAAGAAGAAUACAAGGCUUUGAGAAAGAAUGAGACUUGGCACUUGGUUCCACCGGGUCAAGGUAAAAAUUUGAUAGAUUGCAAAUGGGUAUACAAAGUUAAAAGAAAGGCUGAUGGCACUAUUGAUCGGUAUAAGGCUAGGCUAGUAGCUAAAGGCUUCAAACAAAGAUAUGGGAUAGAUUAUGAGGACACGUUUAGUCCUGUUGUUAAGGCUGCUACUAUCAGGCUUGUGUUGUCUAUUGCUGUUUCCAGAAAUUGGUGCUUGAGGCAGUUGGACGUACAGAAUGCGUUUUUACAUGGUAUUCUGGAAGAGGAGGUUUACAUGAAACAACCACCUGGGUUUGAAAACAAGCAUGUACCUUUCCAUGUGUGCAAGCUUGAUAAAGCUCUGUAUGGUCUGAAGCAGGCCCCAAGGGCGUGGUACUCACGGUUGAGUGCAAAAUUGCAAAAUAUUGGUUUUGUUCCAUCCAAGUCGGAUACCUCAUUGUUUAUUUACAAUAGGUCUAAUAUCACAAUGUUCAUGCUUAUAUACGUUGAUGAUAUUAUUGUCACCAGCUCGUCUAGUGAAGCAGUGACAGCACUUCUGAAGGACUUGGGCUCGGAGUUUGCUCUCAGGGACUUGGGAGAUCUGAGCUUCUUCUUGGGAAUUGAAGUCAAGCAAACUGAUAAUGGUAUAGUCCUCUCGCAAGAAAAAUAUGCAACUGAUCUUUUGAAAAGAGUUGGCAUGCAGAAUUGCAAACCCUCUCCAACUCCGUUAUCUAGUUCAGAAAAACUAUCCUUGCAUGAAGGAGAACUCCUAAGUCUGGAAGAUGGCACUCAGUACAGGAGUAUGAUUGGUGCACUUCAGUAUUUAACUCUUACUAGACCUGAUAUUUCUUUUGCUGUGAACAAAGUUUGUCAGUUUCUACAUGCACCUACCACCUUACACUGGUCUGCUGCAAAACGUAUUCUGAGGUAUGUGAAGAACACAGUAAAUGUUGGUUUAACAUUCAGCAGAUCUCAGUCUACCCUUAUUAGUGCUUUCACUGAUGCUGAUUGGGCUGGAGACCCAGAUGAUAGAAGGUCAACAGGUGGCUUUGCCAUAUUUUUUGGUCCAAAUCUAAUAUCAUGGUGUGCUAAGAAACAAGUCACAGUUUCUCGGUUUAGUACAGAGGCUGAGUAUAAAGCUCUAGCUAAUGCUACGGCAGAAAUCAUUUGGGUACAGUCCAUGUUAAAGGAACUUGGAGUGUCACAGGCGCAAGUUCCCUGUCUUUGGUGUGAUAAUUUGGGAGCCACAUACCUUUCUGCAAAUCCUGUCUUUCAUGCCAGAACCAAAUACAUUGAGAUAGAUUUUCAUUUUGUUAGAGAACGGGUUGCUAACAAGAAGUUGGACAUUCGGUUUAUUCAUUCAAAGGAUCAAGUUGCAGAUGGCUUCACAAAAGCUUUACCUACACGGAGUUUUGAAGAAUUCAAGCGUAAUCUCAACUUGGCCAAGUUGUGAUUAUGGGGGCGUGUUGAAGAUAAUAUUCUCGACUAUAUCUCUAGCGCAUUGUAUCUCUCUCUAUUCUGUUUCUAUCUUCUGUAGGUAGUUGAAUAGAUAGAUUCUAUCUUUACUUCUCUUGUACUCCAAGAAUGUAAUUCAAACAAUGUAUGCGUCUAUGGGAUAAGCCCCAUCAAUCUAUAAAUACACGCGGCCCUCCAACGAGGGUUAUACGCUUCCUC